UACGUAGGGGGCAAGCGUUGUCCGGAAUCAUUGGGCGUAAAGAGCGUGUAGGCGGUCCGGUAAGUCGGCUGUGAAAGUCCAGGGCUCAACCCUGGGAUGCCGGUCGAUACUGCCGGACUAGAGUUCGGAAGAGGCGAGUGGAAUUCCCGGUGUAGCGGUGAAAUGCGCAGAUAUCGGGAGGAACACCGAUGGCGAAGGCAGCUCGCUGGGACGUUACUGACGCUGAGACGCGAAAGCGUGGGGAGCGAACAGG
rnacentral:rRNA from 1 species